GAUGAACGCUGGCGGCGUGCCUAAUACAUGCAAGUCGAGCGAACGGACGAGAAGCUUGCUUCUCUGAUGUUAGCGGCGGACGGGUGAGUAACACGUGGAUAACCUACCUAUAAGACUGGGAUAACUUCGGGAAACCGGAGCUAAUACCGGAUAAUAUUUUGAACCGCAUGGUUCAAAAGUGAAAGACGGUCUUGCUGUCACUUAUAGAUGGAUCCGCGCUACAUUAGCUAGUCGGUAAGGUAACGGCUUACCAAGGCAACGAUGCAUAGCCGACCUGAGAGGGUGAUCGGCCACACUGGAACUGAGACACGGUCCAGACUCCUACGGGAGGCAGCAGUAGGGAAUCUUCCGCAAUGGGCGAAAGCCUGACGGAGCAACGCCGCGUGAGUGAUGAAGGUCUUCGGAUCGUAAAACUCUGUUAUUAGGGAAGAACAUAUGUGUAAGUAACUGUGCACAUCUUGACGGUACCUAAUCAGAAAGCCACGGCUAACUACGUGCCAGCAGCCGCGGUAAUACGUAGGUGGCAAGCGUUAUCCGGAAUUAUUGGGCGUAAAGCGCGCGUAGGCGGUUUUUUAAGUCUGAUGUGAAAGCCCACGGCUCAACCGUGGAGGGUCAUUGGAAACUGGAAAACUUGAGUGCAGAAGAGGAAAGUGGAAUUCCAUGUGUAGCGGUGAAAUGCGCAGAGAUAUGGAGGAACACCAGUGGCGAAGGCGACUUUCUGGUCUGUAACUGACGCUGAUGUGCGAAAGCGUGGGGAUCAAACAGGAUUAGAUACCCUGGUAGUCCACGCCGUAAACGAUGAGUGCUAAGUGUUAGGGGGUUUCCGCCCCUUAGUGCUGCAGCUAACGCAUUAAGCACUCCGCCUGGGGAGUACGACCGCAAGGUUGAAACUCAAAGGAAUUGACGGGGACCCGCACAAGCGGUGGAGCAUGUGGUUUAAUUCGAAGCAACGCGAAGAACCUUACCAAAUCUUGACAUCCUUUGACAACUCUAGAGAUAGAGCCUUCCCCUUCGGGGGACAAAGUGACAGGUGGUGCAUGGUUGUCGUCAGCUCGUGUCGUGAGAUGUUGGGUUAAGUCCCGCAACGAGCGCAACCCUUAAGCUUAGUUGCCAUCAUUAAGUUGGGCACUCUAAGUUGACUGCCGGUGACAAACCGGAGGAAGGUGGGGAUGACGUCAAAUCAUCAUGCCCCUUAUGAUUUGGGCUACACACGUGCUACAAUGGACAAUACAAAGGGCAGCGAAACCGCGAGGUCAAGCAAAUCCCAUAAAGUUGUUCUCAGUUCGGAUUGUAGUCUGCAACUCGACUACAUGAAGCUGGAAUCGCUAGUAAUCGUAGAUCAGCAUGCUACGGUGAAUACGUUCCCGGGUCU
rnacentral:rRNA from 1 species